rnacentral:rRNA from 1 species
UACGGGGGGGGCAAGCGUUGUUCGGAAUUACUGGGCGUAAAGGGCUCGUAGGUGGCCAACUAAGUCAGACGUGAAAUCCCUCGGCUUAACCGGGGAACUGCGUCUGAUACUGGAUGGCUUGAGUUUGGGAGAGGGACGCGGAAUUCCAGGUGUAGCGGUGAAAUGCGUAGAUAUCCGGAGGAACACCGGUGGCGAAGGCGGCUUCCUGGACCGGUACUGACGCUGAGGAGCGAAAGCGUGGGGAGCGAACAGG